CUGUAUCCAACAUCAGAGAAAUAAUUUCUUACAGCAUUUAUAAUCCUAUAUUAAAGCAAAAAAAUAAAUUCUUAUUAUCAUUUGGAAGUUAAAAUAUAAGCAUGUUAACAGAAUAUGCAAGAUCAACUGACCUUUUGUCUGUCAAACAUGAAGAUGAAUGGCUUCUCAUCACUUCCUCUAUUAAUACAGUCCUAUAGAUUCUCAACUAUAGAAAAUGCUAAAGGAAAAAUUCUUCAUUAUAAUCUAGAACUAUUACUGUUAAAAACAUAUCCAAAUAUUGUCCCUUCAAAUGACAGCCAUUAAUACCAUUCAAUGGUCUAUAACCCUUUAAGAAUCUUUUUUUAAUUGCAUUAAAUAUAAUAAAUAUUCUCUUGAAAAAUUAAUGGAUCAUUAUCCCUUUCCCUUAUCUCCGAUUGAACCUUAACCAUAGUACCGGGAUUAUGCAUCCUGAGAUAAUAAACAUACCUAUUAAGCUUCUUAUAAUUUUAUGUGUGUUCACUAAAGUUUGUGACUUUUGCUAAGCAUCUUGCUCUAUAUAAUUGCCAGUUGGAGCAUCUAGCCCGCAUUUUUGCAUUAAAUUAUGAUUCAUUAACUCAUAAACAUUUAUGAAUCAGCCCUAAAAGAAUCCAUAAGUUAAUCUGCUAUCCAUUUUAUAGUUGUAUUACUAUUCCUAUUGUCAAUGGGUCUAAUGCAAGUAUGCUCCUCAUGCAAUAUUUUCACUGUUUAUCUGCUAACCUAGAUGCAUGCAACUUCAGCCCUCAGUUGAACAUUUCUCUGUGGCUCUUAAAUUUUUAUUCUUUAAUCUUUUAAUUUCAUAUCCCCUUUCACUGCAUAAUCUCUAAUAGUAGCUCUAAACAGAUUAAAAUCUCCAAAAACUUGACCAAUUCUGAAACUCAUUUCCUCUCUUCUACUCUGGAUAUAUUGAUCAUCAUACAUGCCAUGAAAGUGUUCAUGGUAACUAUCAUUUUUAGGAGGCUAAGAAACAUUUACACCUUCUUCUUCACCAUUACCUAUGUCAGACAUGUGCUCAUUUGAUUCAAUAUGAAACUUAUCAAUCAGUCUAUCUUCAUCUCCUUUUGAUUCAGAACUAGAGUUGCCAUCUAAUCAUCAUUAUCAUCAGACUCGAAAAAUUCAAACUUACUAAUUGUAGUUAUAACAUCCUUUUUAUCUUGUACUCUCACACUAUCUCCUCUCAUUCUUCCCCUAAAAGUGUUUGUACCAUCCCUUCUCACCCUUUAAGUCAACCUUUGAGUACUAAUAGAGUCUCUCCCAAUAGACUCAGAACUCAUAUUACUAUUUCUAGAAAUAUUCUCAUGAUACUCAGAGUCUACUCCUGCAGCUUGAUCAUCAAUCCCAACACCCUUAAAACCUACCUUACAUCUUGAUCAGUCCCAACACCUUUAGAAUCUGUCCUUGCAUCUUGAUCAUCAAUCCUAAUUAAUAUCCUCAGAACCUAUCCCUAUAACCUGAUUAUCCUAAAAACCUGUCCUGUAACAUAAUCAUGAAUCUCAACACCCUCACAAUUCAUAUAUCAUGCUCUAUUUCUAUCUUAUCAUCCUCGCAAUUCAGUCUUAGAAGCCUCACAACCAAUCCCAGUAGUCUCACAAACAAUAUCAAUAUACUCACAACAAUUCACACUAACCUUGUCAACACUCACAAGACCCAUUAAACUCAUCACAAUAGCCUCAAAACCAUUGCCAAUACCUUGAGAACUAGACACCCUCUUAGUAAUGAUAUAACCCAUACUAGAAUCCUCAUAAACCAUGCUACUAAUACUAGAGAUACUCCCCAUUCCUCUGCAUACAUUAUUGUUAUCACUCUCCCCAUCUACAAGUAGUUAAACAUUAACAACAUAAGAUAAAGGAAUUAUAUUUAGAGUGAUCACAUGAUUGUUCUUGUACAAUUCUUGAAUUAGUAAUAAAUCCAUAUUAUUUUCAAUUGUCAACCCAUUAGAAGCCCUUAUAGUUACAAGUCUACCCCAAUAUGUAACAUCUUAUAAGCAUCACUCAUUAAGGCAAUGUAUGAAUAACCUUAAGCAUAUGCGUGCCUAAGUUCACCCUCUUACCCUUGGUACGUCAAGAUUAACAUAUAUACCACUCUACAAAUCGUAUUUUCCUAAUCCACUAAAAUCAAAAGCCCGAUUGUCAAUCACAUAUUUAUUUAAUAAAUACUGACAAAAACUCUAAUACAAAAAAAACCUAAAUCUUAAUAUUUAAAUUAACACUAUAUAAUAUAUCUACCGUAUAUAAUAUCCAAUAAACUUCACUUUCACACAUAAAUUAAUAAAAAAAAUAAUAACAAUGUCCCUUCAAUUACAAACAACUCACCUUUUGACAGAAAUGGUCCAUUAGCAACAACUAAUGUCUAUGUAAGAUAUGCUAAUGUGCGAAGGACAAACUUGAAUGGAACUCACUGUCGACAGAUUCUUGGUACAUUAGAUAUGAAUAUGUUUUUAAGUAAAAAAUAAAAAAAAAUAAAAGAUAAUAAAUAUUAAAUAAUAUUAUGAAUACUCUCUUAAUCAUGAUAUAAGUAACAUUAAAUACCGUACUCUCACAGGCUUAACCUUAGCCUAGUGGUAAGUACAUCUGAAUAAGUUUAA
rnacentral:lncRNA from 1 species